GAAAAGGAUGAUAAAAUAAAAUGGCAAGGACUAUGUGGAACCAAACAGCGACUACUGGCUGUCUUCUUGUAGAAAACCCUUGCACUGCUCAAGCAUCUCUACUCUAUUCCUUCCUUUUCUUCAUGCCCCCUAAGAGAGCAUAGCACAGCACCUGUUCUGGACAGAAGGACAGACAUCCGAGGGACAUGGGCAUCUCAUCUCAGGUAACACGCUCUUUCUGAUGGCUUGAGAGAGAGAGAAAAAAUAACUUUUUUGUUCAGAUUAAAUAAUACCUGACCUUUUGGCCUUUUAGAUUUUGGUGUUUAUUGACCUUUCAGACAAACACAGAUACUUUUGUUUUAUUUUGAGAGAGGCAAGGAGGCAAAGUGUUGUGAGGGAGGGAAGUUAAUGCCAAGUCCUUCUGAUGUCCGAUCGGUUGCAGGAGAACAGCAGUGCUGACAGUGGUAUA
rnacentral:lncRNA from 1 species